UACGGAGGGAGCUAGCGUUAUUCGGAAUUACUGGGCGUAAAGCGCGCGUAGGCGGUUUGGAAAGUCAGAGGUGAAAUCCCAGCGCUCAACGUUGGAACUGCCUUUGAAACUAUCAAACUAGAAUCCGGUAGAGGUCAGUGGAAUUCCUAGUGUAGCGGUGAAAUGCGUAGAUAUUAGGAGGAACACCAGUGGCGAAGGCGACUGACUGGGCCGGCAUUGACGCUAAGGUGCGAAAGCGUGGGGAGCGAACAGG
rnacentral:rRNA from 1 species